UUAUUUUUCUUACCUGACGAAAACUCAGUUUCUGCAUUGUCGCAUAAAGUAAUAAGGAUGUAGGGAAAUGGUAAGUUCAACUUCCGUCACCACAACCACCAGAAAACUUGACCCAGGUGAUUCUGAGGCCCUAUGCGUUUCAUGCAAAAUAGAUUUUUGAAGUUCUAAAUCUAUUACAAUUUCAGUUGACGACGCAAUCGCAAACGUCCAGCCUCUAUUUAUUUAUCGAAAUACCGUACGAAUUUAAAAUGCACUAUACAAUUACACUGCAAUGAUCAACCUCGU